AUUGAACGCUGGCGGCAGGCCUAACACAUGCAAGUCGAACGGUAACACAGGGAGCUUGCUCCCGGGUGACGAGCGGCGGACGGGUGAGUAAUGUCUGGGAAACUGCCUGAUGGAGGGGGAUAACUACUGGAAACGGUAGCUAAUACCGCAUAACGUCGCAAGACCAAAGAGGGGGACCUUCGGGCCUCUUGCCAUCAGAUGUGCCCAGAUGGGAUUAGCUAGUAGGUGGGGUAAUGGCUCACCUAGGCGACGAUCCCUAGCUGGUCUGAGAGGAUGACCAGCCACACUGGAACUGAGACACGGUCCAGACUCCUACGGGAGGCAGCAGUGGGGAAUAUUGCACAAUGGGCGCAAGCCUGAUGCAGCCAUGCCGCGUGUAUGAAGAAGGCCUUCGGGUUGUAAAGUACUUUCAGCGGGGAGGAAGGUGUUGAGGUUAAUAACCUCAGCAAUUGACGUUACCCGCAGAAGAAGCACCGGCUAACUCCGUGCCAGCAGCCGCAGUAA
rnacentral:rRNA from 1 species